rnacentral:lncRNA from 1 species
GUUCACUGUGUGUGAAUUUGUGGUCAGAAACCGCUGGCAUCCUCUCUGCUAUUUUCAGGACUGGUUGUCAUGGGAACAGAAUUGAUAUAAAAGUCACCAGGUUGUGGUGAUUUUGUAUAUGUGUGUGUGUGGACAGUAAACACACACAUACACACACAACUACCUUAUGGCUGAGGCCCUGAUGUCAUCUCACUGCUUCAAAUUGAUGGCGGUGCGCCGGGCAGACGAUGACAUCACAGAAAAGAGGUCGGGUCAGAGAAAAGUAGGAAUUCAGCGCCUUUAUCUCCGAUCUUUAAACGUCCACAGAACAGCUGAUUUUAAAGCUCCUCCCAUCGUACGGUGACACAAACAGCCCCCACCCAUCUGCAUGGUACUCACAACCCGCUGCACCCCAAAGACCUUCAACAUCAACACGACCGCCGUCACCAAAGAGCGUUUCAGGAGCCUGACCCCAGAAACUGACUCCCAACCUCAGACUGAGUCAUUUAACCACUGUUGCUUUUUUGUCUGUUUCUGGUCAUUUCACGUCACUCCCACAGUCAGCGGACUUCUUUUUGCCCCCCUCCCAGUGCUCAGUGCACCCACCCAGGACUCUGGGUGGAUUUUCCCUUUAAAUACAGCAUGAACAAACAAAGAGUUUAGGUGAAGCAGCAGGUCGAGGGCAAAGAUGAGCUCAGACGUCGCCGCUUUCCCACAGUCUGAAACACAGAAAGAAAGACAAGACAGUAGAACAGACGUCCCGACUCCCUUAAAGGGUAAAAAACAGCAGCGACAGAGCUGCUGGAGUUUCUAAUCCUAUGUAAACAGACUUGGUGUAAGGCAAGGAGGAAGAGGAGGAUACAGUUAGAGAGAGACGAGGGAGAGGAGGAGGAAGAGCAGAUGGUUGAAAAGAAUUAAAGGGCUCAGACAGUCAGACAAGUUCUUUUCGACCGAAGAAAGAAAAAUCCAAACCAACGGCUCUGCUAAAGUAUGGAGGCUCAGAGACGCCAUUUUCAGUCCAUCAUUGUUAAUCAUCAGUGUUUUUAAACUGGAAUUUAUUUUCCUUUGUUUACAUCAUACAUGUUCCUGCUUUAUUGUUGGUGGAGUUAAGUUUAGAAAGACCAUCUAACCCUGACAAACACCUGAUUCAAUUAGAUAUUAAAUAUCCUGCUUUGUGAUUAUCCACUUCUAGGAAAGAAUUAUUCAAAGUUUAACAUGUUUUUAUUGUGUAAAAUGAACGGGGCUCACAAUGUUUAGAUCAAUAAUUCAAUGUAAUUCAAGGUUUUUGUGAUUUUACAUUACAAAAUUGCAAAAUGCAUGUUUCAUUUGAAAGCUGUUGAAUUUUUUAUUAAAACAUAAAAGAAAAACUGUGUUUAGAAAAAAGGCUCACUCAGUUUGUGACUGAAGCUGUGAUUCUAUAUGAAACAUAAAUCUUAUUUAUAAAGCAAAGUUUUGUCUAUGAUUAAGAAAUAUUUGACUUUCUGAUAUAAAAAUACAGUUUUGAGGAAACAUGCUUUAAUGUCAUGCUCGAACAUUUAUUAACACAACGACGCACGGUAAAUAAAACUGCACAAAAACAGAUUAGCUGCUCAUUAGCUGUAAGUCUGAACAGUUUCAGAGCGAAGCCGUGCAGACUGAGAUUUUACUUUGAAGGUUUUCAUAAAAAGGAAGAAAAAACUACAUCUGGAUCAUUUUGUUUGUCAGUGUUAGAAAAAUAAAAGCUUCCUUCCUGUAACAGGAUGUCACGUUUCAGUCAUUUAUUUUGAAAGUUUAUCAGAUAUUUUAAGAAGAUGUAAGAGACUGAUCGAGUUCACUUGAUUGUGGAUAAAUAAUGAACAGGAUACUUUGGCCCACUGUCAGCUCGUUAUCACUCUUUAUUUGGCUCUCAGGUUCGUCUGCAUGAAUGACGACACUUCCUGCCCGUGUGAGCCUCUGGUACUCCACACGGUGACCUGCUAC